UACGGAGGGUGCUAGCGUUGUUCGGAAUUACUGGGCGUAAAGGGCGCGUAGGCGGCCGUUUGCGUCGGAUGUGAAAGCCCGGGGCUCAACCUCGGAACGGCAUUCGAUACGGGACGGCUGGAGACCGGGAGAGGAGAGUGGAAUAGCCAGUGUAGAGGUGAAAUUCGUAGAUAUUGGCUGGAACACCGGUGGCGAAAGCGGCAUCCUGGACCGAUAUUGACGCUGAUGCGCGAAAGCCAGGGGAGCAAACGGG
rnacentral:rRNA from 1 species